rnacentral:lncRNA from 1 species
CGGCGCGGCAGAAGCCGCCGCUCCCUGCGCGUCCCGCGGCGGUGCGGACGCCUCCUCCGGGACGGGGCUGCCCGAUCGCUCUCCGGUCCCUGCGCUCCGGCGCUGCCGCUCCCGCGCCGACGAAAGGCGGGGGAUUUCCGUUCUCCCGGCCCCGGUGGGGGAACGCGACCUGUUCGCCGGCACGCGUGGAGCCGUCCCGGGGCAGGAGCUCGGAGUUCUUCCAAAGCUCCUCGACAUUUCAUGUUCAUUCAUGCACUGCCCCGUGCCCAGUUCAUUUAACCGGCCCCCAGAUUACCCUAUUACCGCUCUCAAACUGUUUACCCGUUCAUCCACGGCUGAAGCAGAGAAAAGGGCACCUCCUGACACCAUGGACAGCGCAAGGGACAGAAUUACCCAAAGAAUAAGACAGCAAGAUCCCUUUCCAAGGAGAUUGGCACAGGUUUAUACACCUGGUCACAGGCACCUGGCACCCCUCUAACACUGCUCCCACCACUGGACAGAAGAGGCAAAAAUGGGGCUGUGAAAGUGUUCUGAUGACAUCAGUAUGCUUCCCUGGCAACAAAUACUAUAUCCUACCUACUCGUUCAUCAGUACAAUUGGGUAAAAACAGAAAAUGUGGAAAGGAGUAUGGCAACACUGAAGUACAGAGAUCUCAAUUGCUGAAUAUCAGUGGUACAAGACAGGGAUACUUCCUGCUGAACCAUACGAUGAUACUCCAAACAAGGAAUCUAUAACUAGAUUUAAUGAGAUUAGGAACCCCAAACAGGACUCCAUUGAAAGUGGGCUUAGGAGAAGAAUCCUCUCUCUGAUGCUCUGAAACACUGCAAAUGGGAGUUUUCUAGCAUAAUCAAAAUCAUCUAACAAGCCAAGAAGUGCAAAACAUAUCUUUCCACAGAGUUCUCCAUAGCAAGUUUAAAGCCUUAAUUUUUGACCUUUAAAGCACUAUGUGGUCUCUCUCUCUCUCUUUUUUUUUUUUUUUUAAAUAAAUACAAAUUAGAUAGCUACAGUAUUGAAGUUCUUUACAAAAAUCCCACUGGGUAUCUAUCUUUGAAAAUCUGGCACUAACCAAGUUUUGAGCUAAAUCCUAAGUGGCCUAGAUCCCAACCUCAGAGGAGGUUAGGCUAGCACAGAAUCCUAACCACAAAAGCAUGAGGGCAGUAAGCCAACAAUGCCAGUUUAAGCACUGCUGGCAGGACUGUGUCCCCUUACACAUCUCCCCUCUGAGCCUCAUGGCUCAGAGUGAGGCCACAAGAGUGGCAGCAGGUCUGUCUUGUCCAGUUACAGAUUCUGCACAGCAACUCAGCCAGUGUGUACUCUUGUAUUUGCUGGGCUCAGCCAGGGCUUUAAGACAGG